GAGAGAGAGAACUGAUCUAGCUUCUCUCUCAAAGAUAAGAGGAAGCAGAGACAUCUCAAAUCAAUCAUGGCAGAGGUCGGUAAAGUCCAAGCUGCAGGGUGUGUGAACAUGUGUGUGAGACUGAGAAAGAGAAUGCAAUAGAGAGAGAGAGAGAGAGAGAGAGAGAGAGAGAGCGCUAGAGAGAAGGUGGAUAAAUUAGUCUCGAUGUGCAACCUUGACUUGAAAUUGCUACCAUUCCGACUCCAUCGACGUUUGAUCAAAACGAAGGCCUGACAUGGAAAAAUAUCGAUUUUCCAAUCGUUCCUCGUUCUUUUACCGUUUAUUUCAUUUUUGCAUUGCCUUGAGAUGACAGAGGAGGGUGAUGAGUAUGUGUGUGGCGGGGGCAGGGGAGAUGUGUGUGUGUGUGAAGCGAUUAGUGUCAAAAGUAUUUUGGUGUGGUGGAGGCUACUGUGUUUCUGGAAGCUCUGUCGAAACUCCAGAAACAUACGCCAACAGUUGACCUCUGAUUCUGUGUGUGUGUGUGUGUGUGUGGCAUGUAGAACAUUGCUCAGAACACCAGUCGAGCCUCCUCCAAGGUUAGACCACUGACUAUUAGCGGUAAUGUUGUUAGCGUGUAAUACCACCUACAAUUUUUUCCCCGACAUCUGAAAUCCAGGAGUUACAGAAAUAUGUACUCGAUUCUGAGAAUGUCAGACCUCCACGACUGACUAUAUGUUUCAGGAAGUACAGGGAAAUGUAUCAAAGUGAUCGUCUGUGGUAAUCGUACAGACAGAGAUUAGGCUGAAAAUGCUUCUUUUGCUCCAAAAUGCCCUAAAACCGAGUCUCGAAUCGUGAAUGCCUCCCCUGGGUGAGUGUCUUGCCAGGAAAUAAGCACACAGACUCGACUGUGAAAUGGGUAAAGCAUGCAUUUAAACCAUAACUAAUACUUUUACUUUGGAAAAACAAAAAGGCUCUCACAACUACACUAUAGUUUAGUGGAUUAGGAAAUUGACCAUAGAGAAGAUCAAAUUUAUUCUUAAAUAUAGGAUCAUCCAUUUCAAAGAAUCUGGCAACAUCUCUGCUACCUUGAUGAAGUUCCUCAGGAUAGAUUUCAGCCAAACAUCUCAGGGAAGUUCGUCGGGGAACGGAGGGAGAGAUGGGAGUUGGACUGUUCAUGUGUAUAUCUUUUUCUGUUCAUAUAUCCUCAUUUAAAUAUCCUUGACAGUGUUAAUUGUGAGUUUGUAAGUGUGUGAACGAACAAACAGGCACAAUAAAGAAAGCAAGAUUAAGUUCAA